AGAGUUUGAUCCUGGCUCAGGACGAACGCUGGCGGCGCGCCUAACACAUGCAAGUCGAACGGAGCUGAGAGAAGCUUGCUUUUCUUAGCUUAGUGGCGAACGGGUGAGUAACGCGUGAGUAACCUGCCCUGGAGUGGGGGACAACAGUUGGAAACGACUGCUAAUACCGCAUAAGCCCACGGCCCGGCAUCGGGCUGAGGGAAAAGGAUUUAUUCGCUUCAGGAUGGACUCGCGUCCAAUUAGCUAGUUGGUGAGGUAACGGCCCACCAAGGCGACGAUUGGUAGCCGGACUGAGAGGUUGAACGGCCACAUUGGGACUGAGACACGGCCCAGACUCCUACGGGAGGCAGCAGUGGGGAAUAUUGCACAAUGGGGGAAACCCUGAUGCAGCGACGCCGCGUGGAGGAAGAAGGUUUUCGGAUUGUAAACUCCUGUCGUUAGGGACGAUAAUGACGGUACCUAACAAGAAAGCACCGGCUAACUACGUGCCAGCAGCCGCGGUAAAACGUAGGGUGCAAGCGUUGUCCGGAAUUACUGGGUGUAAAGGGAGCGCAGGCGGACCGGCAAGUUGGAAGUGAAAACUAUGGGCUCAACCCAUAAAUUGCUUUCAAAACUGCUGGCCUUGAGUAGUGCAGAGGUAGGUGGAAUUCCCGGUGUAGCGGUGGAAUGCGUAGAUAUCGGGAGGAACACCAGUGGCGAAGGCGACCUACUGGGCACCAACUGACGCUGAGGCUCGAAAGCAUGGGUAGCAAACAGGAUUAGAUACCCUGGUAGUCCAUGCCGUAAACGAUGAUUACUAGGUGUUGGAGGAUUGACCCCUUCAGUGCCGCAGUUAACACAAUAAGUAAUCCACCUGGGGAGUACGACCGCAAGGUUGAAACUCAAAGGAAUUGACGGGGGCCCGCACAAGCAGUGGAGUAUGUGGUUUAAUUCGAAGCAACGCGAAGAACCUUACCAGGUCUUGACAUCCCGAUGACCGGUUCAGAGAUGAGCCUUUUCUUCGGAACAUCGGAGACAGGUGGUGCAUGGUUGUCGUCAGCUCGUGUCGUGAGAUGUUGGGUUAAG
rnacentral:rRNA from 1 species